rnacentral:sRNA from 1 species
AUCGAUUCCCACUGUCCCCAAUCU